GGUUAAGUUAGAAAGGGCGCACGGUGGAUGCCUUGGCACUAGGAGCCGAUGAAGGACGGGACGAACACCGAUAUGCUUCGGGGAGCUGUAAGCAAGCUUUGAUCCGGAGAUUUCCGAAUGGGGAAACCCACCACUCGUAAUGGAGUGGUAUCCAUAUCUGAAUACAUAGGAUAUGAGAAGGCAGACCCGGGGAACUGAAACAUCUAAGUACCCGGAGGAAGAGAAAGCAAAUGCGAUUCCCUGAGUAGCGGCGAGCGAAACGGGACCAGCCCAAACCAAGAGGCUUGCCUCUUGGGGUUGUAGGACACUCUGUACGGAGUUACAAAGGAACGAGGUAGAUGAAGAGGUCUGGAAAGGCCCGCCAUAGAAGGUAACAGCCCUGUAGUCAAAACUUCGUUCUCUCCUGAGUGGAUCCUGAGUACGGCGGAACACGUGAAAUUCCGUCGGAAUCCGGGAGGACCAUCUCCCAAGGCUAAAUACUCCCUAGUGACCGAUAGUGAACCAGUACCGUGAGGGAAAGGUGAAAAGCACCCCGGAAGGGGAGUGAAAGAGAUCCUGAAACCGUGUGCCUACAAGUAGUCAGAGCCCGUUAACGGGUGAUGGCGUGCCUUUUGUAGAAUGAACCGGCGAGUUACGAUCCCGUGCAAGGUUAAGCAGAAGAUCCGGAGCCCAAGCGAAAGCGAGUCUGAAUAGGGCGAAUUGAGUACGUGGUCGUAGACCCGAAACCAGGUGAUCUACCCAUGUCCAGGGUGAAGUUCAGGUAACACUGAAUGGAGGCCCGAACCCACGCACGUUGAAAAGUGCGGGGAUGAGGUGUGGGUAGGGGUGAAAUGCCAAUCGAACCUGGAGAUAGCUGGUUCUCUCCGAAAUAGCUUUAGGGCUAGCCUCAAGGUAAGAGUCUCGGAGGUAGAGCACUGAUUGGACUAGGGGCCCCUACCGGGUUACCGAAUUCAGUCAAACUCCGAAUGCCGAUGACUUAUCCUUGGGAGUCAGACUGCGAGUGAUAAGAUCCGUAGUCGAAAGGGAAACAGCCCAGACCGCCAGCUAAGGUCCCAAAGUAUACGUUAAGUGGAAAAGGAUGUGGAGUUGCUUAGACAACCAGGAUGUUGGCUUAGAAGCAGCCACCAUUUAAAGAGUGCGUAAUAGCUCACUGGUCGAGUGACUCUGCGCCGAAAAUGUACCGGGGCUAAACGUAUCACCGAAGCUGCGGACUGUUCUUCGAACAGUGGUAGGAGAGCGUUCUAAGGGCUGUGAAGCAAGACCGGAAGGACUUGUGGAGCGCUUAGAAGUGAGAAUGCCGGUAUGAGUAGCGAAAGAGGGGUGAGAAUCCCCUCCACCGAAUGCCUAAGGUUUCCUGAGGAAGGCUCGUCCGCUCAGGGUUAGUCGGGACCUAAGCCGAGGCCGAAAGGCGUAGGCGAUGGAUAACAGGUUGAUAUUCCUGUACCACCUCCUCACCAUUUGAGCAAUGGGGGGACGCAGGAGGAUAGGGUAAGCGCGGUAUUGGAUAUCCGCGUCCAAGCAGUUAGGCUGGGAAAUAGGCAAAUCCGUUUCCCGUGAAGGCUGAGCUGUGAUGGCGAGCGAAUUAUAGUAGCGAAGUUCCUGAUUCCACACUGCCAAGAAAAGCCUCUAGCGAGGUGAGAGGUGCCCGUACCGCAAACCGACACAGGUAGGCGAGGAGAGAAUCCUAAGGUGAUCGAGAGAACUCUCGUUAAGGAACUCGGCAAAAUGACCCCGUAACUUCGGGAGAAGGGGUGCUCUGUUAGGUGCAAGCCCGAGAGAGCCGCAGUGAAUAGGCCCAGGCGACUGUUUAGCAAAAACACAGGUCUCUGCGAAGCCGUAAGGCGAAGUAUAGGGGCUGACGCCUGCCCGGUGCUGGAAGGUUAAGAGGAGCGCUUAGCGUAAGCGAAGGUGCGAAUUGAAGCCCCAGUAAACGGCGGCCGUAACUAUAACGGUCCUAAGGUAGCGAAAUUCCUUGUCGGGUAAGUUCCGACCCGCACGAAAGGCGCAACGAUCUGGGCACUGUCUCAACGAGAGACUCGGUGAAAUUAUAGUACCUGUGAAGAUGCAGGUUACCCGCGACAGGACGGAAAGACCCCGUGGAGCUUUACUGCAGCCUGAUAUUGAAUGUUGGUACAGCUUGUACAGGAUAGGUAGGAGCCUUGGAAACCGGAGCGCCAGCUUCGGUGGAGGCAUCGGUGGGAUACUACCCUGGCUGUAUUGACCUUCUAACCCGCCGCCCUUAUCGGGCGGGGAGACAGUGUCAGGUGGGCAGUUUGACUGGGGCGGUCGCCUCCUAAAAGGUAACGGAGGCGCCCAAAGGUUCCCUCAGAAUGGUUGGAAAUCAUUCGCAGAGUGUAAAGGCACAAGGGAGCUUGACUGCGAGACCUACAAGUCGAGCAGGGACGAAAGUCGGGCUUAGUGAUCCGGUGGUUCCGCAUGGAAGGGCCAUCGCUCAACGGAUAAAAGCUACCCCGGGGAUAACAGGCUUAUCUCCCCCAAGAGUCCACAUCGACGGGGAGGUUUGGCACCUCGAUGUCGGCUCAUCGCAUCCUGGGGCUGUAGUCGGUCCCAAGGGUUGGGCUGUUCGCCCAUUAAAGCGGUACGCGAGCUGGGUUCAGAACGUCGUGAGACAGUUCGGUCCCUAUCCGUCGCGGGCGCAGGAAAUUUGAGAGGAGCUGUCCUUAGUACGAGAGGACCGGGAUGGACGCACCGCUGGUGUACCAGUUGUUCUGCCAAGGGCAUCGCUGGGUAGCUAUGUGCGGACGGGAUAAGUGCUGAAAGCAUCUAAGCAUGAAGCCCCCCUCAAGAUGAGAUUUCCCAUUCCGCAAGGAAGUAAGAUCCCUGAAAGAUGAUCAGGUUGAUAGGUCUGAGGUGGAAGUGUGGCGACACAUGGAGCUGACAGAUACUAAUCGAUCGAGGACUUAACCAA
rnacentral:rRNA from 1 species